UCAGCUCGUGCCGUGAGGUGUUGGGUUAAGUCCCGCAACGAGCGCAACCCCCAUCAUUAGUUGCCAUCAGGUAAAGCUGGGAACUCUAAUGAAACUGCCGUCGUAAGACGCGAGGAAGGAGGGGAUGAUGUCAAGUCAUCAUGGCCUUUAUGCCCAGGGCUACACACGUGCUACAAUGGAGGGGACAAAGAGCUGCCACUUGGCGACAAGGCGCUAAUCUCAAAAACCCCUUCUCAGUUCAGAUCGCAGUCUGCAACUCGACUGCGUGAAGCUGGAAUCGCUAGUAAUCGUAUAUCAGCAAUGAUACGGUGAAUACGUUCCCGGACCUUGCACACACCGCCCGUCAAGCCAUGGAAGCUGGGUGUACCUAAAGUCGGUAACCGCAAGGAGCCGCCUAGGGUAAAACUAGUGACUGGGGCU
rnacentral:rRNA from 1 species